CAGUCGCCGCGGUAAUACGUAGGUGGCAAGCGUUGUCCGGAAUUAUUGGGCGUAAAGGGCUCGCAGGCGGUUUCUUAAGUCUGAUGUGAAAGCCCCCGGCUCAACCGGGGAGGGUCAUUGGAAACUGGGAAACUUGAGUGCAGAAGAGGAGAGUGGAAUUCCACGUGUAGCGGUGAAAUGCGUAGAGAUGUGAGGAACACCAGUGGCGAAGGCGACUCUCUGGUCUGUAACUGACGCUGAGGAGCGAAAGCGUGGGGAGCGAACAGGAUUAGAUACCCCAGUAGUCCCUGUCUCUUAUACA
rnacentral:rRNA from 1 species